rnacentral:rRNA from 1 species
UAGGGAAUCUUCGGCAAUGGGGGCAACCCUGACCGAGCAACGCCGCGUGAGUGAAGAAGGUUUUCGGAUCGUAAAGCUCUGUUGUAAGUCAAGAACGGGUGUGAGAGUGGAAAGUUCACACUGUGACGGUAGCUUACCAGAAAGGGACGGCUAACUACGUGCCAGCAGCCGCGGUAAUACGUAGGUCCCGAGCGUUGUCCGGAUUUAUUGGGCGUAAAGCGAGCGCAGGCGGUUUGAUAAGUCUGAAGUUAAAGGCUGUGGCUCAACCAUAAUUCGCUUUGGAAACUGUCAAACUUGAGUGCAGAAGGGGAGAGUGGAAUUCCAUGUGUAGCGGUGAAAUGCGUAGAUAUAUGGAGGAACACCGGUGGCGAAAGCGGCUCUCUGGUCUGUAACUGACGCUGAGGCUCGAAAGCGUGGGGAGCGAACAGG